ACACUCCUACGGAGGCAGCAGUGGGGAAUUUUGGACAAUGGGCGAAAGCCUGAUCCAGCAAUGCCGCGUGAGUGAAGAAGGCCUUCGGGUUGUAAAGCUCUUUUGUCAGGGAAGAAACGGUGAGAGCUAAUAUCUUUUGCUAAUGACGGUACCUGAAGAAUAAGCACCGGCUAACUACGUGCCAGCAGCCGCGGUAAUACGUAGGGUGCAAGCGUUAAUCGGAAUUACUGGGCGUAAAGCGUGCGCAGGCGGUUUUGUAAGUCUGAUGUGAAAUCCCCGGGCUCAACCUGGGAAUUGCAUUGGAGACUGCAAGGCUAGAAUCUGGCAGAGGGGGGUAGAAUUCCACGUGUAGCAGUGAAAUGCGUAGAUAUGUGGAGGAACACCGAUGGCGAAGGCAGCCCCCUGGGUCAAGAUUGACGCUCAUGCACGAAAGCGUGGGGAGCAAACAGGAUUAGAUACCCGUGUAGUCCC
rnacentral:rRNA from 1 species